rnacentral:rRNA from 1 species
UACGGAGGGUGCGAGCGUUGUCCGGAAUCACUGGGCGUAAAGGGCGCGUAGGCGGCUCGUUAAGUGGCUGGUGAAAUCCCGGGGCUCAACUCCGGGGCUGCCGGUCAUACUGGCGAGCUGGAGCACGGUAGAGGCGGAUGGAAUUCCCGGUGUAGCGGUGGAAUGCGUAGAUAUCGGGAAGAAUACCGGUGGCGAAGGCGUUCCGCUGGGCCGUUGCUGACGCUGAGGCGCGACAGCGUGGGGAGCAAACAGG